GUGAACGCUGGCGGCGUGCCUCAUACAUGCAAGUCGAGCGAACGGACGAGAAGCUUGCUUCUCUGAUGUUAGCGGCGGACGGGUGAGUAACACGUGGAUAACCUACCUAUAAGACUGGGAUAACUUCGGGAAACCGGAGCUAAUACCGGAUAAUAUUUUGAACCGCAUGGUUCAAAAGUGAAAGACGGUCUUGCUGUCACUUAUAGAUGGAUCCGCGCUGCAUUAGCUAGUUGGUAAGGUAACGGCUUACCAAGGCAACGAUGCAUAGCCGACCUGAGAGGGUGAUCGGCCACACUGGAACUGAGACACGGUCCAGACUCCUACGGGAGGCAGCAGUAGGGAAUCUUCCGCAAUGGGCGAAAGCCUGACGGAGCAACGCCGCGUGAGUGAUGAAGGUCUUCGGAUCGUAAAACUCUGUUAUUAGGGAAGAACAUAUGUGUAAGUAACUGUGCACAUCUUGACGGUACCUAAUCAGAAAGCCACGGCUAACUACGUG
rnacentral:rRNA from 1 species